GUGUUGUAUGAAAGGAGAGAAGGCUAGCACUCCCCUUGAGCUUUACAACAUGCAUAUGGUGAAGGCAUUGCCACUUACUUUGUGGCAUUUAUCCAAGGU